rnacentral:tRNA from 3 species
CAAUGUAGCUCAGUCGGUAGAGCAAUUCACUCGUAAUGAAUAGGUCAUCGGUUCGAUUCCGAUCAUUG